rnacentral:rRNA from 1 species
CAGCCGCCGCGGUAAUACAGAGGGUGCGAGCGUUAAUCGGAUUUACUGGGCGUAAAGCGUGCGUAGGCGGCUUUUUAAGUCGGAUGUGAAAUCCCUGAGCUUAACUUAGGAAUUGCAUUCGAUACUGGGAAGCUAGAGUAUGGGAGAGGAUGGUAGAAUUCCAGGUGUAGCGGUGAAAUGCGUAGAGAUCUGGAGGAAUACCGAUGGCGAAGGCAGCCAUCUGGCCUAAUACUGACGCUGAGGUACGAAAGCAUGGGGAGCAAACAGGAUUAGAUACCCGGGUAGUCCCUGUCUCUUAUAC